CGGUCGACAGCAGCUUGCCCAGAUUCAC
rnacentral:sRNA from 1 species